rnacentral:rRNA from 1 species
GACGAACGCUGGCGGCGUGCUUAACACAUGCAAGUCGAACGGUGAACCCCGCUUGCGGGGGGAUCAGUGGCGAACGGGUGAGUAACACGUGGGCAACCUGCCCCCGGCUCCGGGAUAACCCCAAGAAAUUGGGGCUAAUACCGGAUAUGUCCGCCGGCCGCAUGGUCUGGUGGUGGAAAGGGUUUCCGGCUGGGGAUGGGCCCGCGGCCUAUCAGCUUGUUGGUGGGGUAGUGGCCUACCAAGGCGACGACGGGUAGCCGGCCUGAGAGGGUGACCGGCCACACUGGGACUGAGACACGGCCCAGACUCCUACGGGAGGCAGCAGUGGGGAAUAUUGCGCAAUGGGCGAAAGCCUGACGCAGCGACGCCGCGUGGGGGAUGACGGCCUUCGGGUUGUAAACCUCUUUCAGCAGGGACGAAGCCGCUUUGCGGUGACGGUACCUGCAGAAGAAGCACCGGCCAACUACGUGCCAGCAGCAGCCGCGGUAA